UACGUAGGGUGCGAGCGUUGUCCGGAAUUACUGGGCGUAAAGGGUGCGUAGGCGGUCGGGUAAGUCUGAUGUGAAAUCUCCAAGCCUAACUUGGAAACUGCAUUGGAUACUAUCCGGCUAGAGGAAUGGAGGGGAGACUGGAAUACUUGGUGUAGCAGUGAAAUGCGUAGAUAUCAAGUGGAACACCAGUGGCGAAGGCGAGUCUCUGGACAUUUCCUGACGCUGAGGCACGAAAGCCAGGGGAGCAAACGGG
rnacentral:rRNA from 1 species